ACCAGCAAUAGACGCGCCUCGGU
rnacentral:siRNA from 1 species